rnacentral:lncRNA from 10 species
CUUGGGAGGCUGAGGCAGGAGAAUCACUUGAACCCGGGAGGCGGAGGUUUCAGUGAGCCGAGAUCUCGCCAUUGCACUCCAGCCUGGGCAAAAAGAGUGAAACUCCAUCUGAAAAAAAAAGCUUCAUUGGUUACUCAUUGCCUACAGAAAAGGAAACAGUAAAGGAGAUUAAUAUUUAUCUGUGUCUUGGACAAUAGGCAAAUUGCUUUCCAUGAAUUAUCUUAUUUAAUCCUCAUAAGGACCCUAUGAGAUAAGCGCCAGCUCACCACGGUACCCCAGCUUCCUGGUCAAAUUGUCCUCUUUCCCUAAAUAGUUUAUGACCUCUUUUUUAAUAUCUACAGUUUUACUAUUUUAUUAAAAUCCCACCAAAUUCUUUGGGGAAUUAAGUAAGGUGUACAAGUUUUCAUAUGAGAAACACUGGAGUGAUUUGGGCACACAUAGCUUUCUGGUCGGCCUGCAAUCUCACUUCCAGAAUAGGUCAUGAAAAUAACAGUGAGAAAUGGCCUCUCCCACACCCAGCUUCACGUGUUAAAGCGUGUGCUGUCCACUCCCACUUCUGUUUGCAGACGUGGCUGCCCUCAACCUCCGGACAAGUGAUUUGGUCCUCAAUCCAGAUAUGGAUGGUGUCUCACCAUGAUGCCCACACUGAUCUCGAACUUCUGAGCUCUGGCAAUCCACCCACCUCAGCCUCCCAAAGUGCUAGGAUUAUAGGCAUGAGCCACCACUCCCAGCCAUCCAACUUUUACUUCUGUAUCAAACUGGAUCCCAUUAGUCAGUAUUUCUGGAUGAAUGUUUUAGUUCUUUGCUUUUAGCAAAGAGACAGCCAUGUGAAAAACAUUUCCAUGUUUUCUGAAAAUUAGAACUGAAGGCAUUAUCUAUUACAUAUCCAUUGUUUCUAUAUAAGAAUCCCUGUAAUAAAUUUUUCUCAGAAUUCAGUGCAAGUAAAAGUUUAUAUUUUCAAACUUUAUGGUUCAUUUUAUCAGACAAAUGAGUCCUAUCUGUUCCCCUUCCCGGCCUUCCUACCAGGAACUCAGAGCCACUUUGUGUGCCCCUGCCUCCCUCUGAGCUUCCUUGUGUCUUUCCUUAAAUAGUUUCCGAUCUCCUUAUGAUACCUACAGUUUCAAUCUUCUAUUUUGCCUUAAUUUUAAAAGCUACCCCAAAUUUGGGGAAGAAUUACAUAAAAGAUAUAUAAGUACAUAUUAGUAACUUGGAUAUAUAUUAGUUCCCACUUUUUAAAACAUGUAUGGGAAUGAGUGAUUUAUAAGCCAUUUGACAGCAUAUGAAUUCCUAAGUAGGAAAAUUCAUAAGCAAAAGUGGUAAUGAAGGCAGGAGGUGUAGUGUCCUCUCACUCCAGCACUUGUUUAAAAAGAGUGGCCAGGUGAGGUAAGUGACCUAGUAACAACAGCAGGUGCCAGGUAUAACUCCAUUCACUUUAGUCAACAAACAGGUAGGCUGGCUGGGUGCGGUGCCUCACGCCUGUAAUCCCAGCACUUUGAGAGGCCGAGGCAGGCA